rnacentral:rRNA from 1 species
GGGUUGUGAGGUUAAGCGACUAAGCGUACACGGUGGAUGCCCUGGCAGUCAGAGGCGAUGAAGGACGUGCUAAUCUGCGAUAAGCGUCGGUAAGGUGAUAUGAACCGUUAUAACCGGCGAUUUCCGAAUGGGGAAACCCAGUGUGAUUCGUCACACUAUCAUUAACUGAAUCCAUAGGUUAAUGAGGCGAACCGGGGGAACUGAAACAUCUAAGUACCCCGAGGAAAAGAAAUCAACCGAGAUUCCCCCAGUAGCGGCGAGCGAACGGGGAGCAGCCCAGAGCCUGAAUCAGUGUGUGUGUUAGUGGAAGCGUCUGGAAAGGCGCGCGAUACAGGGUGACAGCCCCGUACACAAAAAUGCACAUGCUGUGAGCUCGAUGAGUAGGGCGGGACACGUGGUAUCCUGUCUGAAUAUGGGGGGACCAUCCUCCAAGGCUAAAUACUCCUGACUGACCGAUAGUGAACCAGUACCGUGAGGGAAAGGCGAAAAGAACCCCGGCGAGGGGAGUGAAAAAGAACCUGAAACCGUGUACGUACAAGCAGUGGGAGCACAGAGCAAUCUGUGUGACUGCGUACCUUUUGUAUAAUGGGUCAGCGACUUAUAUUCUGUAGCAAGGUUAACCGAAUAGGGGAGCCGAAGGGAAACCGAGUCUUAACUGGGCGUUAAGUUGCAGGGUAUAGACCCGAAACCCGGUGAUCUAGCCAUGGGCAGGUUGAAGGUUGGGUAACACUAACUGGAGGACCGAACCGACUAAUGUUGAAAAAUUAGCGGAUGACUUGUGGCUGGGGGUGAAAGGCCAAUCAAACCGGGAGAUAGCUGGUUCUCCCCGAAAGCUAUUUAGGUAGCGCCUCGUGAAUUCAUCUCCGGGGGUAGAGCACUGUUUCGGCAAGGGGGUCAUCCCGACUUACCAACCCGAUGCAAACUGCGAAUACCGGAGAAUGUUAUCACGGGAGACACACGGCGGGUGCUAACGUCCGUCGUGAAGAGGGAAACAACCCAGACCGCCAGCUAAGGUCCCAAAGUCAUGGUUAAGUGGGAAACGAUGUGGGAAGGCCCAGACAGCCAGGAUGUUGGCUUAGAAGCAGCCAUCAUUUAAAGAAAGCGUAAUAGCUCACUGGUCGAGUCGGCCUGCGCGGAAGAUGUAACGGGGCUAAACCAUGCACCGAAGCUGCGGCAGCGACACUAUGUGUUGUUGGGUAGGGGAGCGUUCUGUAAGCCUGUGAAGGUGUACUGUGAGGUAUGCUGGAGGUAUCAGAAGUGCGAAUGCUGACAUAAGUAACGAUAAAGCGGGUGAAAAGCCCGCUCGCCGGAAGACCAAGGGUUCCUGUCCAACGUUAAUCGGGGCAGGGUGAGUCGACCCCUAAGGCGAGGCCGAAAGGCGUAGUCGAUGGGAAACAGGUUAAUAUUCCUGUACUUGGUGUUACUGCGAAGGGGGGACGGAGAAGGCUAUGUUGGCCGGGCGACGGUUGUCCCGGUUUAAGCGUGUAGGCUGGUUUUCCAGGCAAAUCCGGAAAAUCAAGGCUGAGGCGUGAUGACGAGGCACUACGGUGCUGAAGCAACAAAUGCCCUGCUUCCAGGAAAAGCCUCUAAGCAUCAGGUAACAUCAAAUCGUACCCCAAACCGACACAGGUGGUCAGGUAGAGAAUACCAAGGCGCUUGAGAGAACUCGGGUGAAGGAACUAGGCAAAAUGGUGCCGUAACUUCGGGAGAAGGCACGCUGAUAUGUAGGUGAAGUCCCUCGCGGAUGGAGCUGAAAUCAGUCGAAGAUACCAGCUGGCUGCAACUGUUUAUUAAAAACACAGCACUGUGCAAACACGAAAGUGGACGUAUACGGUGUGACGCCUGCCCGGUGCCGGAAGGUUAAUUGAUGGGGUCAGCGCAAGCGAAGCUCUUGAUCGAAGCCCCGGUAAACGGCGGCCGUAACUAUAACGGUCCUAAGGUAGCGAAAUUCCUUGUCGGGUAAGUUCCGACCUGCACGAAUGGCGUAAUGAUGGCCAGGCUGUCUCCACCCGAGACUCAGUGAAAUUGAACUCGCUGUGAAGAUGCAGUGUACCCGCGGCAAGACGGAAAGACCCCGUGAACCUUUACUAUAGCUUGACACUGAACAUUGAGCCUUGAUGUGUAGGAUAGGUGGGAGGCUUUGAAGUGUGGACGCCAGUCUGCAUGGAGCCGACCUUGAAAUACCACCCUUUAAUGUUUGAUGUUCUAACGUUGACCCGUGAUCCGGGUUGCGGACAGUGUCUGGUGGGUAGUUUGACUGGGGCGGUCUCCUCCUAAAGAGUAACGGAGGAGCACGAAGGUUGGCUAAUCCUGGUCGGACAUCAGGAGGUUAGUGCAAUGGCAUAAGCCAGCUUGACUGCGAGCGUGACGGCGCGAGCAGGUGCGAAAGCAGGUCAUAGUGAUCCGGUGGUUCUGAAUGGAAGGGCCAUCGCUCAACGGAUAAAAGGUACUCCGGGGAUAACAGGCUGAUACCGCCCAAGAGUUCAUAUCGACGGCGGUGUUUGGCACCUCGAUGUCGGCUCAUCACAUCCUGGGGCUGAAGUAGGUCCCAAGGGUAUGGCUGUUCGCCAUUUAAAGUGGUACGCGAGCUGGGUUUAGAACGUCGUGAGACAGUUCGGUCCCUAUCUGCCGUGGGCGCUGGAGAACUGAGGGGGGCUGCUCCUAGUACGAGAGGACCGGAGUGGACGCAUCACUGGUGUUCGGGUUGUCAUGCCAAUGGCACUGCCCGGUAGCUAAAUGCGGAAGAGAUAAGUGCUGAAAGCAUCUAAGCACGAAACUUGCCCCGAGAUGAGUUCUCCCUGACCCUUUAAGGGUCCUGAAGGAACGUUGAAGACGACAACGUUGAUAGGCCGGGUGUGUAAGCGCAGCGAUGCGUUGAGCUAACCGGUACUAAUGAACCGUGAGGCUUAACCUUACAACGCCGAAGCUGUU